AACGCUAGCUACAGGCUUAACACAUGCAAGUCGAGGGGAAACGACAUCGAAAGCUUGCUUUUGAUGGGCGUCGACCGGCGCACGGGUGAGUAACGCGUAUCCAACCUGCCCACCACUUGGGGAUGACCUUGCGAAAGUAAGACUAAUACCCAAUGAUAUCCCACGAAGGCAUCCGAAUGGGAUUAAAGAUUUAUCGGUGAUGGAUGGGGAUGCGUCUGAUUAGCUUGUUGGCGGGGUAACGGCCCACCAAGGCUACGAUCAGUAGGGGUUCUGAGAGGAAGGUCCCCCACAUUGGAACUGAGACACGGUCCAAACUCCUACGGGAGGCAGCAGUGAGGAAUAUUGGUCAAUGGGCGAGAGCCCGAACCAGCCAAGUAGCGUGCAGGAUGACGGCCCUAUGGGUUGUAAACUGCUUUUAUAAGGGAAUAAAGUGAGUCUCGUGAGACUUUUUGCAUGUACCUUAUGAAUAAGGACCGGCUAAUUCCGUGCCAGCAGCCGCGGUAAUACGGAAGGUCCGGGCGUUAUCCGGAUUUAUUGGGUUUAAAGGGAGCGUAGGCCGGAGAUUAAGCGUGUUGUGAAAUGUAGACGCUCAACGUCUGCACUGCAGCGCGAACUGGUUUCCUUGAGUACGCACAAAGUGGGCGGAAUUCGUGGUGUAGCGGUGAAAUGCUUAGAUAUCACGAAGAACUCCGAUUG
rnacentral:rRNA from 1 species